rnacentral:lncRNA from 1 species
CCUUAGGAGUCGGCCUCCUGGGGCCCAGAGAAUGUGACCAGGCAGAAUAACCAGCAGAGGACAUGAAAACACAGACAGGAGAUUAGCUGGCCAAGAGACCAGCAUGGCCUUCCGGGGGCAGCUAUGGCAUCGUCUCUCACGCAGAUCUCCCUUAGCGGCUUCUGACUUCAAGCGUUCGCGUCGAAGACCUGAUCCCUCCAGCGACCUAUAACUGGGACUCCGAGGUGACCGAGGCAGUCUCCUGUCCUGAUGGCUCAGGGUCCACCGGGGAUGCUUACCUGACUCACACAUUGGCGACGUUGUGUGGUCAGU